GCAGCACCCAGGCAGGGGUGCCUGAAGCCCCAGAGAGGGGUGUUACAGUGUGCUAAAUAGCUCUUUUAUCUCCACCAUCUGCAGCCUGAUGGACAGCGGCAUGUUGGCAGCUCAGGCGGCCCCUUUCUCCACUCUGGCCCGUGGCUCCUGGACCAGCUUGGCCCUGCUGCAGCUUCUGUUCUGUGGGGCAGCUGCCCUCCACCAGUGAGGGUAGAGGGCCAGCGUUACAGCCUUUGUGGGUGCCCACAUUUGGUGGGUCCUGAGCUCUUGUUCUGCAUCCAAGAAGAAUGAGGUCAUGCUGACAGUUGAAGGGUGAUGAGGAUGGAGAAUUUUAUUGACGAUGAAACAGCUCUCAGUGGAGAGGGAUUGAGAAGGUGGGGUUGUCUAUCUCAGUGUGGCUGAGUCUAGGGGGUUUUAUAGGCACAGGAUUGGGGAGGGGCGGGCUGUAGGUAGUAUUAGAAAAGGCAACAUUUGAUUGGUUAAAAAGCAUUAUUCAGAAAGAACCAAUCAGGAAAGGGUGGGCAAACAGGAACAGAAGUUCUCACCCUGGUUUGAGGGGUUUCAUCCCAAACCAGCAGUCCAGGCUGUUUUUGGCUUGAAGGUGGGGUUUCACUGGGGACCCACCCCCAUCUGCCUAGGAAAUUGUCUGCCUCCUGCCGCUUUCAAUUGUUUUACUCUACAUUGUUUUCUGAUGACUAAUGAUUUUGAGAACCUCUUCAUAUGCUUGUUACCAUUUGGGGGUUACUAUUUGUGAAUUGCUUUUUAAUAUCCUUUGCCAAUUUUUGAGAAUUUUUAGUGCUCUCUUUUUUUAGUUGGUUUGUGGGUGUUUAUAUAAAAUCUAGACAUUAAUUGCUUGUCAGUUUUGAUAUUGCAAAUAUCUCCUCUCAUUCUGCCAUCUGUAUACUGACUUCUUGCAUGAGAUCCAUGAUGUCUGUGGGCAGAAAUCUUAUAUUUUGGUGUAAUAAGAUUUAUCUUUUUUCCCUCUGCCUUAUAAUUUUGUGCAUUUGAAAAUUUAUUUGAUAAGUCCUCUCCCCACCCUGCUACAAAAAUAUACUCCCUUUUCUUUUGUUAACUUUAUAGUUAGAUAGAUUUAAGACCUAAAUGUGAAAGGUCCCUUUUGGUAUGUAGUGUUAGGCAGGAUGUUAGUCUCCAAAGAUAGCCCCCAAUGAACCAUGACUCCCAAUAUUCACACCCUGCAUAGUUCUCACCCAUGUUGAAUCUGGGAUGGCCCAGUAUGACCAGUCAAAUAUGGCAGAAAUGUCACCAUGUGACUUUGUUUUGAUACAGUGUCUUGCUCUGUCGCCCAGGCUGGAGUGCAGUGGUGCAAUCAUAGCUCAUUGCAGCCUUGACCUCCUGGGCUCAAGUGAUCCUCCUGCCUCAGCUCCCCCAGGUAGUCACCAUGCCUGGAUAAUGUUUUAAAUUUUUUACAGAGACAGGACAUUUCUAUGUUGCCAGGCUGGUCUCAAAUUCUUGGGCUCAAAUGUUGGGCCUUGGCCUCCCAAGUGUGGGAUUCCAGGUGUGAGCCACCACAUCCAGCUAUAACUUCUAAGACUAAGCCAAAGAAACUCUGGGAACUGUUAAUCAUUCUCCAGCCACGUGAGUGAGACUCUUGGAUGCUCAGACCUGCCAAACCUUCAGAUGACUUCAGCCCCAGGAGACAUCUGACUUCAAUCCCACGUGAGGCCCCAAGUGAGACCAGUCAACCCGUGGAAGCAUGAGAAAUCAUAAUUUUUGUUUUAAGCCACUCAGCAUGAUGAUUUGUUCUGCAGCAAUAGGAACAAAUGGCAGGAACAAAAUUUGGUGCCUGAAAGUGGAAUGUUGCUAUAAAAGCAACCUAAAAUGUGUAGCGUUAGGUUGAGAAUGGGUGGUGAGAGACGGUGGAAGGAAAGACUUAAGGACAGCAAGAAGUAUUCACCUUCCAUCCAGGAGGCAGAAAGCCUUGCUAUCAUACUUAACAAUGAGAAAAGACUGCAUGCACUACAAAGUCAUCACUUUUCUUGAGCUCACCAGGGAGGUGAGCUCACAGGGCAACCAAGUAUCCUGAAUUCCAAGGGGGCAGGUCCCUCCAAGGAGAGGCAGGAUGUGCAGUCUGGCUCACUUGGGCAGUGCUUGGAGGAAGGGGCAGCCUCCAUUAAAGUGGGUAAGAAGAAAGAAAUCAGUUCAGUUUUAACAAAUUGUUGGAAGCCAGGUGUGGGCUGGCGUGUCGGUCUGAGACAGCAGGGGGCCCAGACAAGGUCAGCUGCCUCUGGGGCAGAGUGGGAAGCUCUCCCAUGAAGGACCUGCCCCGGAUAUAAGGCAGGGUCCACUGCACUGAAGCGGAUGGGUGGGAAGGCUGAGAAAGCUCCACAGCCCCGGGCAGCAGAGAGCCUACACUUACCUCCUCACCACAAACCUGGUAGUGGGCAGCCAGCCUGGUAGUCACCACCGGGAGAAGGGCAAGAGUAUGGAAAAUAUGAAGAAAGACACCUCCUUCCUGUGGGGCCACUGGGGAUAUGGCAAUUACUAUCACAAUGAGAGACCGCUGUACACCUCCAGAAUGACUGGAUAAAAGGCCACCUGACCCUACCAUGUGCUGAUGAGGAGGUGGCAUCGCUGGAACUCUCAUGCUUUGUUGGUGGACAUGAAAAAUGCUUCAGCCACUUUUUUUUUUUUUUUUAGUGCAGUUAAAUUUUACAUAUAUUUUGUGGUUAUUUGACUAGUGUCUGCUGUGUUAGCUUCUUAGGGCUGCCACAACAAAUUAUCACAAACUUGGUGGCUUAUUCUCUCACCAUCCUGGAGGCCAGAAGUCUGAAUGGAGGCGUCAGCAGGGCCAUGCUUCUCCCAAGGGCUCUAGGGAAAAGUCCUUCCUCACCUCUUCCAGCUGCCGGUAGCUCCUGGAGUUCCUUGGCUUGUGGCAGCAUCACUCCUAUCUCUGCCUCUGUCUUCACAUGGCCUCCUUCUCUGUGUCUCUACAUCUUUUUCUUCCAUGUCCAGAACCCAGGAGCACAUUCUUCACUGAAAUCAUUCUCUGCUGCAGCUUUUGGAAUCCGGUCACUCUUGAAAACACCAAAGGCCACUGGAGCCUACAGCUGCCCAUCAUGUCAAGAUCUGCUGGUAUCACGGUAGCACUCAGCAGUGGCAGCCCAUUGCUUCAGCUCCUGGAAGAACAAAAGGCCAUCUGCUGAGUCAGAGGUCCCACCAGAAGCCAAGUCAGCCACUUCUGAAAACCAUUUGGCAAUUUCAAUUUCUUAUGAAGUAGAACAGACACUUACCUAUGUAUCAGCAACCCCACUCCAAGAGAAAUGAAGACACGUCCACACAAAAGCCUGUGUGCUAAUGUUCAUGUUUGUGGCAGCUGUGCUUGAAAACAAUCCAGAUGUCCAUCAACAGGUGAAUGAAUACACAAUGUCGUAUGUCCAUAAACCGGAAUACUAAUCAGCAAUAUAAAGAAAUGAACUACUGACACCUUUGACUACAUGGGUGGAUAUCAAAAGCAUUAUGCUGGGAGUAACAGCACAGAAGACUAUGUGCUAUAUUAUUCUUUUUCUUUUUUGGUGGGGCGGGAGGGGGGAACAGAGUUUCUCUCUUGUUGCCCAGGCUGGAGUGCAAUGGCAUGAUCUCAGCUCACUGCAACCUCCCCAUCCUGGGUUCAAGUGAUUCUCCUGCCUCAGCCUCCUGAGUAGCUGGGAUUACAGGCAUGCGCCACCACGCCUGGCUAAUUUUUGUAUUUUUAGUAGAGACGGGGUUUUGCCAAGUUGGCCAGGCUGGUCUUAAGCUACUGACCUCAGGUGAUCCACCCACCUCGGCCUCCCAAAGUGCUGAGAUUACAGGCGCGAGCCACUGUGCCUGGCCUAUAUUAUUCUUUUUAUACGACAUUCUGAAAACCACAAAACUAGGUAUAGGGAGAGAAGAGAUUAGUGAUUGCAAGGGGCAGGAAGGGGUGGGGGGGAAGGAGUUGACUACAGAGGGGCACAAGGGAAAUUAAAACAUUCUGUGUAUCUUGAUUGUAGCGUGAUCACAUGACUAGAUGCCUUUGUCAAAAAGAUGCAUAUGUAAAUUAUAUCUCAAUAAACCUGACUUAAAAAACAAAGCCAAUCUACCAUGUUAAGUCUGCAGAUAAUUAUUACCACUGGGGAGUUAGUGCUAGAAAGAGACUAUGAAUGGGUUUCUGGUAGUACCCUGUGUCUUCAUCUGGCAAAGUUGGUCUUUGGGUGUAUACGUCUGUCAGUCUGCAAAAAUUCUUCAAGCUGAAUCCCUAUGAAUUAUGUACUGUUAUAUAUGUAAUAUUUCAAUAAAAAGUUUUUUAAAAGAC
rnacentral:lncRNA from 1 species